rnacentral:lncRNA from 1 species
ACAGAUGAACACAACAGGGACAACACUUAACCAGUCACCGUAAUUCUAAGAUUAGACCGUCUCUAAUGUCAACCAAUGACUACAUGUGCUAAAAAGAUUAGGCAGUUUCAAAUGAGGUCGUACCCAGUGCACAAGGCUCCCGCUUUACGCAGGGUCUGGGAGAGGUGAAUGUCGGCUAGCCUUACCCCCAUUUAUGGAGAGGCUGCUCCCAAGUCUCGAACCCGAGACCUACCGCUCAUGGGCGAAGGCACUUGCCAUCGCACCAAGUGCGACCUCUUAGGCAGUUUCAAAUGAGGUAAACAAAAUAAAUUCUUUCCCAGCUCAUUCAAAGACGGUGAAAUGUUAACAGUGCAGGAUUACAAAAGCGGAGGUUUUCACAAGAUCAACCAACUCGAAGAAAUCUAAUGAAUCUGAUCCACCCAUAAUCAGAUUGUAACACCAUGCUAACUAAAAUGUAAACCAGCUUGUACUGCGAGCAUGAGCUAGUAAUCACAAUAUCUUGACUCAAUUUCACUUCUCUUGUUACUUUACCGCACUAACAACAAAAAGUUACAAAUGAACCCCAAAUUAAAAAGAAACAGACUUCAAAGACUGAUCGGUCAGUGUGUGAUAGAACAAUUGGGGACACUUUUCAUUCCCUUUUUCUUUCCAAAUAAUUAUUUACGCAGUUUUGGUAUCUAGGAAUCAAUUGGAUAACUCACUAGAUUCAAGGUAUGUUGAAGUAAGGAAAGAAGCCCAACAUCCAAAUUUUGUCCCUGAUGAAGGUUAGAAUAUGGAUUAGUCAUGAAGGAAACUUAAUGCCUUCUAAUCCUACCAUUUUGUGGGGAUUGGAGGGGAUUUUCCUUCAUGACUACUCCAUCCUUCCACUUGGACAACAGUAAGAAAUUGACCUUCAAUUCUUACUUCAACAUAGAUCGAAUCUAGUGGGUUAUCUAGUUUAAUGCAAUCUUAGCAACAACCGAAAGUGACAAAAAAGGAUAAAUUUGUAAUAUUACUAUGAGUAACUAUUAUUGAUACUAGUGUUGGAACCCAGAGGACCAACAUAUUCUUCCCAAACCAAGUGAAACUAGUGGGGGUAGGGGGAAGGGAUAUGAGAUAGGCAUGUCCAAGAAUCUAUAACUAUACCUAUGAAGCACAGGUAGUUGACUAUCAAUUAUAAGUUACAAGAUGGCAAGUAAAUUUGUUCUUAGGCCUUCUCACAAGAUAUUUCAUUAAAUUGCUCAGUUACACACAACUAUAAUAUCAAGGUUCUAAAAGACACUAGGAGCUAGUUGGACGGCAGGCUGGGGCCUAGUGCCUAGGCAGGGCCUAGGCGGACUAGGAGG